AGAUAUUAGUUUUAUUUAAAAUUUUAAUUUUGGAGAUUAAAGAUAAUUAAUUUAUUAUAUCUGAA
rnacentral:tRNA from 1 species